GGAUAGCCCGGCGAAAGUCGGAUUAAUACCCCAUAAAACAGGGGUCCCGCAUGGGAAUAUUUGUUAAAGAUUCAUCGCUGAUAGAUAGGCAUGCGUUCCAUUAGGCAGUUGGCGGGGUAACGGCCCACCAAACCGACGAUGGAUAGGGGUUCUGAGAGGAAGGUCCCCCACAUUGGUACUGAGACACGGACCAAACUCCUACGGGAGGCAGCAGCGAGGAAUAUUGGUCAAUGGCCGAGAGGCUGAACCAGCCAAGUCGCGUGAAGGAAGAAGGAUCUAUGGUUUGUAAACUUCUUUUAUAGGGGAAUAAAGUGGAGGACGUGUCCUUUUUUGUAUGUACCCUAUGAAUAAGCAUCGGCUAACUCCGUGCCAGCAGCCGCGGUAAUACGGAGGAUGCGAGCGUUAUCCGGAUUUAUUGGGUUUAAAGGGUGCGUAGGUGGUGAUUUAAGUCAGCGGUGAAAGUUUGUGGCUCAACCAUAAAAUUGCCGUUGAAACUGGGUUACUUGAGUGUGUUUGAGGUAGGCGGAAUGCGUGGUGUAGCGGUGAAAUGCAUAGAUAUCACGCAGAACUCCGAUUGCGAAGGCAGCUUACUAAACCAUAACUGACACUGAAGCACGAAAGCGUGGGGAUCAAACAGGAUUAGAUACCCUGGUAGUCCACGCAGUAAACGAUGAUUACUAGGAGUUUGCGAUACAAUGUAAGCUCUACAG
rnacentral:rRNA from 1 species